rnacentral:rRNA from 1 species
GGGUCAGUAGGUUGGUCGUGCCACCGGUACGUACUGGUCUCACUGAUUCCUCCUUCCUGAAGAACCGUAAUGCCAUCAAUUUGGUGUUGCGGGGAAACAGGACUGUUACUUUGAAAAAAUUAGAGUGUUUAAAGCAAGCUAACGCUUGAAUACAUUAGCAUGGAAUAGUGAAAUAGGACGAUCGAUCCUAUUUUGUUGGUUUCUAGGAUUGACGUA